CACGGGGGGCGCAAGCGUUAUUCGGAAUUAUUGGGCGUAAAGGGCGCGUAGGCGGUCUUAUCGGUCAGAUGUGAAAGCCCAGGGCUCAACCCUGGACGUGCAUUUGAAACAGUAAGACUUGAGUACGGGAGAGGAAAGCGGAAUUCCUGGUGUAGAGGUGAAAUUCGUAGAUAUCAGGAGGAACACCGAUGGCGAAGGCAGCUUUCUGGACCGAUACUGACGCUGAGGCGCGAAGGCGUGGGUAGCGAACAGG
rnacentral:rRNA from 1 species